AGGCCAGUAGCUCAAUUUGGCAGAGCUCCGGUCUCCAAAACCGGUGGUUGGGGGUUCAAGUCCCUCCUGGCCUGCCA
rnacentral:tRNA from 1 species